GAUGUAUGUGUUGGGCAGUAUGUGCGCAUGGAUGUAUGUGUUGGGCAGUAUGUACGUAUGGAUGUAUGUGUUGGGCAGUAUGUGCGCAUGGAUGUAUGUGUUGGGCAGUAUGUGCGUAUGGAUGUAUGUGUUGGGCAGUAUGUGCGCAUGGAUGUAUGUGUUGGGCAGUAUGUGCGCAUGGAUGUAUGUGUUGGGCAGUAUGUGCGCAUGGAUGUAUGUGUUGGGCAGUAUGUACGUAUGGAUGUAUGUGUUGGGCAGUAUGUACGUAUGGAUGUAUGUGUUGGGCAGUAUGUGCGCAUGGAUGUAUGUGUUGGGCAGUAUGUGCGUAUGGAUGUAUGUGUUGGGCAGUAUGUGCGCAUGGAUGUAUGUGUUGGGCAGUAUGUACGUAUGGAUGUAUGUGUUGGGCAGUAUCUACGUAUGGAUGUAUGUGUUGGGCAGUAUGUACGUAUGGAUGUAUGUGUUGGGCAGUAUGUGCGCAUGGAUGUAUGUGUUGGGCAGUAUCUACGUAUGGAUGUAUGUGUUGGGAAGUAUGUGCAUAUGGAUGAAUGUAUUAGGCACUGUGUGUAUAAGGGCCAGUGAGUGUGUAUGGUUGAAUGUAUAUAUUAGGCAGCAGUGUAUGGUUGUAUGUAUUGGCAGUCUGUGUGUGUAUGGAUGGAUGUAUUGGCAGGGUGUGUGUGUAUGGAUGUAUGUAUGUAUUGGCAGUGUGUGUGUGUUCAUAUUGGACAGUUUCUUUUUCCCCCCCUAAAUGUCUGCUCACUGUGUCUCUCCUAAAAUGUCUCCUAGUCUGUAUCAGUUUCCUAAAAACCUC